CAGCUGGACUCAAUGGUUGAUCAACAUCUCUUGAAGAUGCCAAUGCCAUGUUAAUUUACUUAGAUAACCCUCAAGACACAACUGUUUGGCUAGGGACACCCCGCCAACAUAUAUAUGUGCCUGAUCAAUUAAUGUUAUCAAACUAACAAAAAUUAAUGAACUUUUUCUAGAUAUUAUAUAAUAUUGCAUAUAGGUAUUAUAAAAAAAAUAUAUUAUAAAAUCAAUCGUUAGUUGAUCCAGUAGUGACUAAUACUGGAUUUGAUAGAGACAAUGGUUUGAUUCUCACAAAUGCGAUAAAAACGGGGCCGGAACUAGUUGAUCCCAGAACUGAUCACCGAAUCAGAUUAAAUGGUCCAAUGAACCGAAUACUAGUAAUGAAAAAAAAAUAUUAAAAAAAUAAUAUUGAAUAUGUCAUUUAAAACGUCGGUAGGUGGGCGGGUGGGGAAUUAGGCAGUAGAUAAAUUAAGGAACUGUCCAUACAUGUGGGAUGGGUGGAUAACAUAUAUGAUUUUUUGUAUCAUGUGCAAAUUUGCAAGUAAGUUUGUAUUAGAACUUGUGAUUUUAUAUUAAAUAUAUAAUUUUUUAAUAAAUAAUUGUUGUUUUUCAUUAAAUAGUUACCAUUUUUAGUUACUUUAACAGUUUAAUAUGUUCAAUAUUGCACAUGUUAAAUAAACUCGAUAUAUAUUAUAACGGCCAACAAUCAAUGUGAGCUUCAAAUGCACCAAUUUAUCUUCUUCUUUUCCCUUAAAAAAUACGGGUCAUGUUAACGCACAUACUUUAACAUAUAAAUAAAUUUUAAUCUAAACAAUGUUUCUCAAUAAAGGAGGAAUGUAAUCAAAUAGACAUGAGACAGGGACUAUAGCAUAAAAUUGUGAUGGAGAAUAAGCAACUUGUUCUAUCUUACUUGAAAAUUUAUUUAUUUUUGUAAAUAAAUUAAUUAAAUUUUAUCUAUGAAAAUAUAACAAAGUUAAACUUUUUAGAGAAAAUUUUACAACUCCAGUGGUCCAAAUCUUACUUGAAUAACUAACUUGUCCUUUUUUUUAUAGUAACUAACUAGUCCCUUUUUUAUGAUGAUAAUAACUAACUUGUCUCUACAUUUGGCGGAGAUAUAUAGAAAAAUAAAAUUUAUAUGAACCAUACUUGUACAUAUUAUUAAGAGUGGUGCUAUUUUAUUAUGAAAAAAAGAAAGAGUGGUGCUAGCUUUUUAAAUAUUUAAUUUUUUUUUGUCAAGUAGCCUAAUUGCUAGAAAAUCUAUCCUAGUGAAUAAGUGGAGUACCUCGGGUUCAAACUCGGUUCCUGCACAUAUAGUCUGAUGUUCCUACGAACUAAACUAAGCUCACGGGGACUUAAAUAUUCAAAAUUUAACACCUUAUGAAAAUACACAACUUAUAAUUGUUGAUAUAUAUACAUGAGUUAGGAUCAAAUGAAAGAGGGUGUCAAACUUAGAAUUAUGUCUUUAAAAUAUGACAUUACAUCAAUCUUACGUAGUGGAUAAUCGUCUUAUAAAAUUGACCGUUAGAUUGAAAUAUAUUAUAACAUAGAAUUAUGUCUAUAAAAUACUGUAUGUCAUUACAUUAAUCAAAAAUCAUUUGAUAUGUCAAUGAGAUACAUCAAAAUUAACUCACUUUUUGAAUAUUCGUAAGAUGUUAAUUUUGAUGUAUCUCAUUGACGUAUCAAAUGAUUUCCAAUUAAUGUUAUAUUUUUUAUAUAUGAUCUAUAUUAUAAUAUCUUUCAAUUUAACGGUCAAUUUUGUAAUACGAUUAUCGGAUAAAGAAUUAUCGAAAAUGUCAUAUAAAAAGUUUGACAUUUUAAUAUCAUUUAUAUAGACCUAUGCCAACUCAUUUGAGAUUAUGGGUUCAAAAUGUGAAAUCCAAUAUACGAACCAAGUACACCUUUGAAUUUAAACAGUUUGGUAUAGAUUGAACAAUUGAUGUAUUGAGCAUAGAUAGACAAGAUAUAUCAAUUUUUCAAUGAAUCUAAAAAAUAAGUUUGGAUAACCGCGAUCAAAUUUGUACCCGUAAACACACCUUAACUCCAUAGGCAUGACACACACACAUAUGUUAGGAAUUUAAUCAGUUUUUAAAAUCAAAUAUUUUGUGCGAACUACAAAGACUAAUUCCUUAAGAAAUUUAACUUCUAGUUAAAUUGGACUAUAUAUCUUACCAUCUUAUGUUUUGUUAAAUACUUUGGAGUUUGGAGAUUGUUGAAAAGUAAAAAUUGUAAGGGAGAAAGUUGAAGGAAGGAACCUGAAAAACUGAUCUGGGCCAAGAACGAAGCUUGUGUCUGGAUGAAGGACAAGAAGAUAUAAAGAUGAAACAAACUUUGUCCUUGAAACUUGAUAUAUAGAUUGAUCUCUGUUCUGUUCUGUUCUUGUAAUAACUCUUGUGUUGUGUUGUGUUGUG
rnacentral:lncRNA from 1 species